GCACUUCCGGCGUGCAGAGCUGCCUGCAGUCGACUGUUUGAAGCUUCGCAGUGUUCCCGGGCGAGAUGCAUCCUCAUCUUCAGUUCGGCGCCCAGUUGACCUUGGGGACGACUAUUAGGACCAGGUAGCUUGCUCUGGGCCCUAGCACGCAGAGCUCUGGAUUCCCAAAGCCUCAGGACCUAACUGAUAUCAGGCACUAUGCUCAUUCUACAAAGAGAUCAUGUUUGCAGAGUACUGACCACCAUCCAGGAAGAGAAGCUUUGUUUCUGAUGAGGACCUUUAGUUUUUGCCUGAGUUGUGAGAUUUUACAACUCUGCACCUGGGUAUAAAGAACAAAUAAUUAUCACAGACCUGGAUUCCCUAAUAAACCUCCAGCUCAAUGUUAUCAUCAGUGAAGUAUCCCAGGACAUUCUUCAGGAACCUAGAAGAUCUUCUGUUCACUGACUCUGAAUCAAAACUCCACUCUGGGGGCUUAGCACAUGAACGGCUCUUAGAACCCUUCUGCCUCAUCCCAAGCCCUUCUGCUAGCUUGGAGCUCACUUGGGUUUGUGGAAUCUGCAGGUUACACAGCUCCCUUCUGUCUUACUAGAUUUAGGUGGCGUUUUUGCACCCUGGUCCCGUCAGAAACUUUGUUCCCUGAAAGGACUACAGGCGUUCAUUUUCUCCUUCUCUCCCUCCCGCUCUCCCCCCACUUUCCCUUCCUCCUGCCCUCCAGCCCUCCCUUCCUUUCUCUCCCUCCUUUCCUUUCCUUCCUUCUCUUUUCUACACUCUAAAGAUACAUACAUGCCCUCUUAUCACAUAUUUUAUGUAUUUAUUACAAAUAAAGAAAUAUACACAUUUAUACAUAAGAAUAUCUUAUUAUAAGAAAGUAAUAUUUAACAUAUGCAUACACAUACAUACUAUAUGGCAUAUGAUGUAUGGGAUUAUGCAAGGGUUUGAAUGACUUUCUAAAACUGUAGUGAGACAUCUAAAAUCCAGAAAAUAAAAGCUCAAAUGAGAUUCCA